GAUGAACGCUAGCUACAGGCUUAACACAUGCAAGUCGAGGGGAAACGAUAGAGAAAGCUUGCUUUUUCUAGGCGUCGACCGGCGCACGGGUGAGUAACGCGUAUCCAACCUGCCCAUCACUUGGGGAUAACCUUGCGAAAGUAAGACUAAUACCCAAUGAUAUCUCUAGAAGACAUCUGAAAGAGAUUAAAGAUUUAUCGGUGAUGGAUGGGGAUGCGUCUGAUUAGCUUGUUGGCGGGGUAACGGCCCACCAAGGCGACGAUCAGUAGGGGUUCUGAGAGGAAGGUCCCCCACAUUGGAACUGAGACACGGUCCAAACUCCUACGGGAGGCAGCAGUGAGGAAUAUUGGUCAAUGGACGAGAGUCUGAACCAGCCAAGUAGCGUGCAGGAUGACGGCCCUAUGGGUUGUAAACUGCUUUAUAAGGGAAUAAAAGUGAGUCUCGUGAGGCUUUUUGCAUGUACCUUAUGAAUAAGGACCGGCUAAUUCCGUGCCAGCAG
rnacentral:rRNA from 1 species